AUAAGGUUCACAUUUACGACACAUGCUUCUUGUUUAAUAUCAUGGAUGGUGUCAUCCCACCAGAGCUUAUCACACAUUUCUCUUCCUUGCAUCUGUUCACUAAGUAUGCAGACUGAUUCUCCAGUACCAAAUGUGUAUCCUGGUUUUGCUUCAAAUGUUCAUUCCCUAAAUUUAAACCCUUCUAUAGUGUGCAAGAAAAAAAUGUCCGCACCUCAGCUAAAAUGUGAGGUUGGAACAAAAAACUGCGAGGAUUUAAAAACGUGUGCUUGUUAGAAAAGCAGAAAUCUUCACAAACACUAGAUUACCAAGGGAACACACACACACACACACACACAAACAAAAACCGAAUCUUGAAAUAUUAGACGUUGCCCAGCUACCAGCCCCCGUCUGGUUUCCAUAGG
rnacentral:lncRNA from 1 species